rnacentral:sRNA from 1 species
UAAGGUAAGGGAUUUUACUUUGCCCUUUUAGUUGAAUCAAUUUUUGAAAAACCCUCACUUAUUCUUACUACCCCAUCUCCUUCUUAACCUAUUUGAAAUACAAUUUUACCCUUCUCCUUUAUCCUUUUUAAUUUUCUAUUUAAGUUUUGCUACCAAACAAUCUAUUAAAAUCAACCAAUCAUUUACAUUUUAUUUCCUAUCUCAUUAAUCAGUUAAACCUACAAAAAAACGCUGGACAACAGAAACCAAUAGGUACAACUAUGUUGAUGAACUUCUACGAAAAACAUAUAAUUACAUAUCGUUUUAUUUUUCUCUUUCAUUUUCAAGUUAUAAUCAAAAAGACUUCAGUCAUACGCGUUUCUUAUAAUGGAUACUAUUAAUUUUCUUGUCGUAUUUAUACAAAUUAAUAUGUUUUGUAUUGGUACAACUAAGUACAACCCGCACAACUAAGGUCUUUUCACUUGGCUAGUUUUCAGAAUAUUAUAAAA